rnacentral:rRNA from 1 species
GAUGAACUCUUGCUACAGGCUUAACACAUGCAAGUCGAGGGGCAGCAUUUCAGUUUGCUUGCAAACUGGAGAUGGCGACCGGCGCACGGGUGAGUAACACGUAUCCAACCUGCCGAUAACUCGGGGAUAGCCUUUCAAAAGAAAGAUUAAUACCCGAUGGUAUAAUCAGACCGCAUGGUCUUGUUAUUAAAGAAUUUCGGUUAUCGAUGGGGAUGCGUUCCAUUAGGCAGUUGGUGAGGUAACGGCUCACCAAACCUUCGAUGGAUAGGGGUUCUGAGAGGAAGGUCCCCCACAUUGGAACUGAGACACGGUCCAAACUCCUACGGGAGGCAGCAGUGAGGAAUAUUGGUCAAUGGGCGCAGGCCUGAACCAGCCAAGUAGCGUGAAGGAUGACUGCCCCUAUGGGUUGUAAACUUCUUUUAUAUGGGAAUAAAGUUUUCCACGUGUGGAAUUUUGUAUGUACCAUAUGAAUAAGGAUCGGCUAACUCCGUGCCAGCAGCCGCGGUAAUACGGAGGAUCCGAGCGUUAUCCGGAUUUAUUGGGUUUAAAGGGAGCGUAGGUGGACAGUUAAGUCAGUUGUGAAAGUUUGCGGCUCAACCGUAAAAUUGCAGUUGAUACUGGCUGUCUUGAGUACAGUAGAGGUGGGCGGAAUUCGUGGUGUAGCGGUGAAAUGCUUAGAUAUCACGAAGAACUCCGAUUGCGAAGGCAGCUCACUGGACUGCAACUGACACUGAUGCUCGAAAGUGUGGGUAUCAAACAGGAUUAGAUACCCUGGUAGUCCACACAGUAAACGAUGAAUAUUCGCUGUUUGCGAUAUACAGUAAGCGGCCAAGCGAAAGCAUUAAGUAUUCCACCUGGGGAGUACGCCGGCAACGGUGAAACUCAAAGGAAUUGACGGGGGCCCGCACAAGCGGAGGAACAUGUGGUUUAAUUCGAUGAUACGCGAGGAACCUUACCCGGGCUUAAAUUGCAUUUGAAUAUAUUGGAAACAGUAUAGCCGUAAGGCAAAUGUGAAGGUGCUGCAUGGUUGUCGUCAGCUCGUGCCGUGAGGUGUCGGCUUAAGUGCCAUAACGAGCGCAACCCUUAUCUUUAGUUACUAACAGGUCAUGCUGAGGACUCUAGAGAGACUGCCGUCGUAAGAUGUGAGGAAGGUGGGGAUGACGUCAAAUCAGCACGGCCCUUACGUCCGGGGCUACACACGUGUUACAAUGGGGGGUACAGAAGGCAGCUACCUGGUGACAGGAUGCUAAUCCCAAAAGCCUCUCUCAGUUCGGAUCGAAGUCUGCAACCCGACUUCGUGAAGCUGGAUUCGCUAGUAAUCGCGCAUCAGCCAUGGCGCGGUGAAUACGUUCCCGGGCCUUGCACA